rnacentral:piRNA from 1 species
CUGUGAAUAGCACUGUUGUGAACAUUGGU